GGUGGUUCUCGGGUGACGCACCCCAGAAUAGGGCCCCCUUGUCUCUGGUUCCGGGGUGCAUCACCCGAGAACCGCU
rfam:Myotis brandtii contig279266, whole genome shotgun sequence.